UUUCGUCGGGUGCGUUACGACGUGUUACCAAAAGUUAUGUUGCUUUCGUCAAGUUUGUUACGACGUUUUGACAACCGAUGUGUUGCUUACGUCAGGAUGCAUACGUCAGCAUAAGCAUAAAACAACAGAUAGGACAGGUGGAAUAAUGAUGACAAAGAUCACGAAUACGGAUGUUUUACGAAGUUCUGUGUCACAAAACUUCUGCGGAUUUUGACAUUCACAAAACUAUGUUGCCGAUUUCAUCGAAUGCAAGCCCCCAGAAAAAGUGAGAGAGCAUAACCGGUAAAUGCAUUGAGGAUAUUGUGUGAAAAUGCUUUACCUGACAUUCUUGCCAAUUGACAGCAACAGCAAACGAACGUUGAAAUUAAUGUACAAAAUCGCCAGCCAAGAUUGCAGUUUCAUAACAUCGUUAUUAACUCUACGCCACCUCCAGCUCAUGGGCACCUUCUUUCUACCUCGCCGGCGACCAUCACUCACCUGGCCGUGCUCACUGUGCUCCCGAUUCUUAUACUGGCCGGAUUUGAGGCGACAACCAACUUUGCAAGCUUGUCCGGCAUUCUAGCAACAUGUAUCACCCAACGUAUCCUUCUAGCGUUUGUCAUUUUUGCAUGCUGGGUUCACCGUAGACUUAUAACUUGAUUAUAGGAGGAGUGAAAGCCUCUUUAAGCUUGCCAAAUAUUUUUAUAUAGAGUAAUUGUAACAUAGAAAAAACUACAAUCCAAUGAACAGUAGAUUUCUCAAUAAAUGUAAAAGAAACGGAAACAAAUGGAAA